rnacentral:lncRNA from 1 species
AGCAAGCUUUUUGAUUGGAUUAAUCCAAACUUAAGUUGUUUUGCCAUCCUCUUCUUUUUCAUCUUCAUCUUCUUUACUUCAUCAAGUUACUGCGACCUGUGACUCGAGUGACUUCCCAUCUCUCCACCAAUUUUCCUUUUCUUCCCAUCUGAACCACUAUGCCGAAAUUCUUCUCUCUUUGAAACCUUCAAAUUCUCGCUCAAUAGCUGAUUGAAAAGCUCUUAAUUGCAAGGUUAUCCAAGUUUAUAAAUUUAAUUUUGAUUACUGCUGCUAUUCCAAAAAAAAUUUCAAUUGCAAGGUGCAUAUGAUCGUCAAGUCAGUUUGCUAAAUCUUAAUCUCUUCCAUCUACAUCAUCAUCCUCUUCGUUUCCAAUGUUCACACCUUCAAGGUACCCAAUCUUCUAAUUAAGUUUUAGUAUUUCCAUCUUCUUCUAUAUUGAUUGUUUUAAUGAUUAAGAAAGUUUUAUUUCAAAUGUUGCUUUCAUUGUUCGAUGUAGGUUUUAUUUCUCUCUAAUUAACCUAGGUUUUCAAAAUAGAAUUCAAAACCCAAUUUCUUCUUCUGCCAUGUUUAAUUUUCUGACUAUGUAUCUACUACUGGUUUGUGCCCCAAUACUAUAGGGUAUAGUUUUACUGCGAACCUUUAGACAAAAAUUUGCAUUAGUAAUUGUUAAUCUUAGGUACGUGAUUUGAAUUAGUAAUCAGAGAUACGUCCUACUCAUGUAAUUUAGUAAUUAACCAAAGCAAGUUAUUUAAAAGCUAUUGGAGUAUGUUUAUUCUUUGAAAGCUAUUAAUUCUUUCAGUUAAUUUAGUAAUUAACUGAAACUGAACCUCUGGGGUCUGAGGUGUGGUCAUUGGUCAAAUUCAAGCCCCCUAAAUUGCAGAAAUCAAGUUUUCAACCUUUUUUUUAUUCCCUUAAUUGCAUAUUAAGAAAAAUUGGUAAAAUGAUGGCAUAUUAGUUACUAACCCUUUUCUUUAAUGCAGGUGAACAUCCAAGACUUUUCCAGCUAACCAGAUUACAAGGAAGGCAUGAUUAUCUUCAUCUAUGGUCUUAUUCAAUUGAAAGUAAGUUUUUUUUUCAGUAUGAAUACUAACGUUCAUCCCCAAUUUUUAUUGAACAAAUCAAUAUUAACAUCAUUUGCAAAUCCUAUUAUGCAUAGACAAUAGUGAAUUGGGUAUGGUUUAUUUUAGAACAUUCUGACAAAGACCUUUUUUCUUUUCGUGAAUUUAGUUCAUCUUUGAUUUUGUUCAAAAAAUUUAAAUUUUUUACGAGGUUGGAAAUGGUGGCAUAUGAAUCAAACAGUUUCAUAAUUUUUCAUCAUCCUUAGAAUAGUGAAGUUUUUAUGAUCAUUAAUGUGAACAACGACUGCACAUCGACUAGAUUUUCAGAUAGUGGUUUACAACACUACUAAAUAUUAUUGGAAGGUAAUCCAUUUACAUUUGAUUGGUAGGCAAUUACAUGAUUGCAUUAUUUGAUUCAUCAUAUAGGCAAGUACGCCUAUAAUUUUGAAUUCCUGAUUCAAGUCAAUAAUUUUGAUAGCUUAAUCACUGCUUUCAAUAGAAGUAUAAAACCUUAAAAAAAAGUGCUAGCAAAUGUUAGCAAAUGAUGGUACUUAGAAUGUACUCAUUAAUAUGACAUGACUGCACAUCGACUAGAUUUUCAGAUAGUGGUUUACAACACUGCUAAAUAUUAUUGGAAGGUAAUCCAUUUACAUUUGAUUGGUAGGCAAUUACAUGAUUGCAUUAUUUGAUUCAUCAUAUAGGCAAGUACGCCUGUAAUUUUGAAUUCCUGAUUCAAGUCAAUAAUUUAGAUAGCUUAAUCACUGCUUUCAAUAGAAGUAUAAAACCUUAAAAAAAAGUGCUAGCAAAUGUUAGCAAAUGAUGGUACUUAGGAUGUACUCAUUAAUAUGACAUGAGUUUAUCAAUAUUAUCUCACUAAGUACACAUUAAUUAAUCAUUUCAGAAUACAUAAAUGUCAGAUUGGAGAAACUGUUUUCAAUUGUUUCUUUCAUACGCUUUCAAUGGUUGCAACUGGCAUAUUCUAUAAUUUUGUGUGGAGGUUUUGCGAUGUGGUUUAAGCUAGGAACUGCAAAUUCCCAGAUAGAGGACCUUUUGAUCUCAGCAUACCCUAUGAAACCAUUGAAAUUCUCUAUGCAGUCUAAAUUGUGAGAGGCUCUAGAGUCUAGAUUGAAAUCCCGAGCCAUUUAAUCUCAUUUCUAAGAAUUGUCAGGCCUGAGCACGAAGUUGAUUUUAUUGUUUUUAUAGAGACGUUAAUGAGAUAGAAUCUAAAUUUUGUUUAUCGAAGACAAUAGUUUUUUAUUGACUGUUUCACUAUGCUCAUAGAUAAUGAAGUGUAGAUUAUACUAAUUCUGUGCUUAUAGGUUCUUAUUGACUGUUCCUGCUUUGAUCCUGAUUGAAAGAUGAUUAAUGUAUUGUUGUUUGGCUAACUAAUUGUAGGUGUCUAGGCUAUUCGUGUUGCCAAGAUUGUUCAGGUGACAGUAUAACAAG